UUCAGCGUGGCGGAAUUGGUAGACGCACCGCACUGUUGAUGCGGCGCCGCGAGGCUUGUAGGUUCGACUCCUACCGCUGGAGCCA
rnacentral:tRNA from 1 species